GGCACUUACAUGUGUUUUUGUCUUACCUUUUGUGGACUAAAACUUAAAAGAACAGGUGCAAAAAAUAAAUCCUCUUUUGCAACCCAGAACUCAUUGUUUGGUAUGAGUUUUGAUACAUUAAAGAAGGAAUAUU
ensembl:snoRNA